rnacentral:rRNA from 1 species
CCUACGGGAGGCAGCAGUGGGGAAUAUUGCACAAUGGCCGAGACGCUGAUGCAGCAACGCCGCGUGAGGGAAGACGGUUUUAGGGUUUUAAACUUCUGUUCUUCGUGAAGCAUGGUGACGGUAGCUAAGUAGCAAGCCACGGCUAACUACGUGCCAGCAGCCGCGGUCAUACGUAGGUGGCAAGCGUUGUCCGGAAUUACUGGGGGUAAAGGGAUCGCAGGCGGGAAGCCAAGUCAGCUGUGAAAACACCGGGCUUAACUCGUAGCCUGCAGUUGAAACUGGGUGCCUUGAGUGAACGAGAGGUAGGCGGAAUGCGGGGUGUAGCGGUGAAAUGCGUAGAUAUCACGAGGAACACCGGUGGCGAAGGCGGCCAACUGGGGUGCAACUGACGCUGAGGCUCGAAAGUGUGGGUAGCGAACAGGAUUAGAUACCCUUGUAGUC